rnacentral:rRNA from 1 species
CCUACGGGUGGCAGCAGUGAGGAAUAUUGGUCAAUGGGCGCGAGCCUGAACCAGCCACGUAGCGUGAAGGAUGACUGCCCUACGGGUUGUAAACUUCUUUUAUAAAGGAAUAAAGUGAGGCACGUGUGCCUUUUUGUAUGUACUUUAUGAUUAAGGAUCGGCUAACUCCGUGCCAGCAGCCGCGGUAAUACGGAGGCUCCGAGCGUUAUCCGGAUUUAUUGGGUUUAAAGGGAGCGGAGAUGGGUUGUUAAGUCAGUUGGGAAAGUUUGCGGCUUAACCGUAAAAUUGCAAUUGAUACUGGCAGCCUUGAGUACAGGUGAGGUAGGCGGAAUUCGUGGUGUAGCGGUGAAAUGCUUAGAUAUCACGAAGAACUCCGAUUGCGAAGGCAGCUUACUAAACUGCCACUGACAUUGAUGCUCGAAAGUGUGGGUAUCAAACAGGAUUAGAUACCCGAGUAGUC